CCAAUAGCGUAUAUUAAAGUUGUUGCAGUUAAAAAGCUCGUAGUUGAAUUUCGGGAUUGACGUGACGGUCAUGCCUUAAGGGGUAUGAACUGUUGCUGUUGAUUUCUCACCUUCUGGAGAAACUUGAUGUCCUUUAUUGGGUGUCUUGCGGAUCCAGGACCUUUACCUUGAAAAAAUUAGAGUGUUUAAAGCAGGCAUUUUUGCUCGAAUACAUUAGCAUGGAAUAAUAGAAUAGGACGGCAUGGUUCUAUUUUGUUGGUUUCUAGGGUCACCGUAAUGAUUAAUAGGGAUAGUUGGGGGCAUUAGUAUUCAAUUGUCAGAGGUGAAAUUCUUGGAUUUAUUGAAGACUAACUACUGCGAAAGCAUUUGCGAAGGAUGUUUUCAUUAAUCAAGAACGAAAGUUAGGGGAUCGAAGACGAUCAGAUACCGUCGUAGUCUUAACCAUAAACUAUGCCGACUAGGAAUCAGACGAUGUUAAUUUUUUAAUGACUCGUUUGGCACCUUACG
rnacentral:misc_RNA from 1 species